CACCUGGUUUUUCUCAAAACCACAUAGAGAACCAAUGUAGUUUCA
rfam:Stegodyphus mimosarum contig15759, whole genome shotgun sequence.